CAGUCGCCGCGGUAAUACGUAGGUGGCAAGCGUUGUCCGGAGUUAUUGGGCGUAAAGGGCUCGCAGGCGGUUUCUUAAGUCUGAUGUGAAAGCCCCCGGCUCAACCGGGGAGGGUCAUUGGAAACUGGGAAACUUGAGUGCAGAAGAGGAGAGUGGAAUUCCACGUGUAGCGGUGAAAUGCGUAGAGAUGUGGAGGAACACCAGUGGCGAAGGCGACUCUCUGGUCUGUAACUGACGCUGAGGAGCGAAAGCGUGGGGAGCGAACAGGAUUAGAUACCCCCGUAGUCCCUGUCUCUUAUAU
rnacentral:rRNA from 1 species